rnacentral:rRNA from 1 species
UGCGAAGGGGGCCAGCGUUGCUCGGAAUUACUGGGCGUAAAGGGCUCGUAGGCGGCCAACUAAGUCGGAUGUGAAAUCCCCAGGCUUAACCUGGGAACUGCAUCCGAUACUGGAUGGCUUGAAUCCGGGAGAGGGAUGCAGAAUUCCAGGUGUAGCGGUGAAAUGCGUAGAUAUCUGGAGGAAUACCGGUGGCGAAGGCGGCAUCCUGGACCGGCAUUGACGCUGAGGAGCGAAAGCUAGGGGAGCAAACGGG